GACGAACGCUGGCGGCGCGCUUAAUACAUGCAAGUCGAGCGAGAACUAGGGCUUCGGCCCUGGGGACAGCGGCGAACGGGUGAGUAACACGUGGGUAAUCAACCCCCGACACCGGGAUAGCCCAGGGAAACUUGGAUUAAUACCGGAUGCCCCAUCUGGCUUUCGAGCCGGCUGGAAAAGGGUAGCUUCGGCCUCCGGUCGGGGACGAGCCCGCGGCGGAUUAGCUUGUUGGUGAGGUAAAGGCUCACCAAGGCGACGAUCCGUAGCUGGUCUGGGAGGACGAUCAGCCACACUGGGACUGAGACACGGCCCAGACUCCUACGGGAGGCAGCAGUAGGGAAUCUUGCGCAAUGGGCGAAGGCCUGACGCUGCGACGCCGCGUGAGGGAAGAAGGCCUUCGGGUUGUAAACCUCUUUCAGGAGGGACGAAGCCACUCGGGUUAAUAGCCUAGAGGGUGACGGUACCUCCAGAAGAAGCCCCGGCUAACUACGUGCCAGCAGCCGCCGCAG
rnacentral:rRNA from 1 species